rnacentral:tRNA from 4 species
GCACUUUUGGCCGAGCGGUUUAGGCAAUCGACUCAUAAUCGAUUUUAGGUGGGUUCAACUCCUACAAGGUGCA